rnacentral:rRNA from 1 species
UUGAUCCUGGCUCAGGAUGAACGCUGGCGGUGUGCCUUAGGCAUGCAAGUCGAACGAAAAAUGCUCUUCGGAGUAUUUUAGUGGCAGACGGGUGAGUAACACGUAGGAAUCUACCCAGUAGUGGGGAAUAGCCUUCCGAAAGGAGGGGUAAUACCGCAUGUGUCCGCAAGGACAAAGACUUCGGUCGCUAUUGGAGGAGCCUGCGCGCUAUCAGCUUGUUGGUGAGGUAAAGGCUCACCAAGGCAAUGACGGCUAGCCGAUGUGAGAGCAUGAUCGGCCACAAGGUUACUGAGACACGGAGCCUACACCUACGGGUGGCAGCAACCGGGAAUAUUGCGCAAUGGACGAAAGUCUGACGCAGCGACACCGCGUGUGGGAUGACGCUCUUCGGAGUGUAAACCACUGUGGCAGGGGAUGAAAUUUUGACAGUACCCUGCUAGAAAGCACCUGCUAACCACGUGCCAGAAGCCUCGGUAAUACGUGGGGUGCAAGCGUUAUCCGGAUUUAUUGGGCGUAAAGCGUACCGUCGGUUGUUUUUUAAGUUUCUUGUUUAAGCCUGAGGCCCAACUUCAGAGCAGCAAGAAAAACUGAAAAACUUGAGUUUGUUUGGGGCAGCUGGAAUUCUCAGUGGAGGGGUGAAAUCCGUAGAUAUUGAGAGGAACGCCAAUCGCGUAGGCAGGCUGCUAAGACAUAACUGACACUCAUGGACGAAAGCUAGGGUAGCAAAAGGGAUUAGAGACCCCUGUAGUCCUAGCCGUAAACACUCCUUGCUAGCUGUUUCCCCUUAGGGGGGAGUGGCGUAAGCUAACGCGUUAAGCAAGGCGCCUGGGGAGUACGACCGCAAGGUUAAAACUCAAAGGAAUUGACGGGGGAGCGCACAACCGGUGGAGCAUGUGGUUUAAUUCGAUACAAAGCGAAAAACCUUACCCAGGUUUGACAUCCGCCUAUGUCCUUUUCGAAAGAAAAGCACUUAGUGGCGUGACAGGUGAUGCAUGGCUGUCGUCAGCUCGUGUCGUGAGACGUCCUCUUAAGUGAGGUAACGAGCGCAACCCUUGUUCUGUGUUAUACGUGUCACAGAAGACUGCCUCGAUCAUAUCGGGGAGGAAGGAGAGGACGACGUCAAGUCAGCAUGUCCCUUACACCUGGGGCUACACACAUCCUACAAUGGGACCGACAACAGGUAGCAAAGUCGUAAGGCUGAGCCAAUCCCUAAACGGUCUCUCAGUCCGGAUUGAGGGCUGCAAUUCGCCCUCAUGAAGUCGGAAUCGGUAGUAAUCGCAAAUCAGCAGGUUGCGGUGCAUACGUUCUCGCUCCUUGUACACACUGCCCGUCAAGCCAGCAAAGUCGGCAACGCCCGAAGCGGGUGACCGGAACCAUUUAUUUGGACCGGCCCUUCUACGGUGAG